rnacentral:rRNA from 1 species
UACGUAGGGGGCAAGCGUUGUCCGGAUUUAUUGGGCGUAAAGAGUGCGUAGGCGGUUUUCUAAGUUUGGUGUGAAAUCUCCCGGCUUAACUGGGAGGGUGCGCCGAAGACUGGAAGGCUUGAGUAUGGGAGAGGUAAGCGGAAUUCCUGGUGUAGCGGUGAAAUGCGUAGAUAUCAGGAGGAACACCUGCGGUGUAGACGGCUUACUGGACCAUCACUGACGCUGAGGCACGAAAGCGUGGGUAGCAAACAGG